UUGUGGAAACACGAGAGUGCCUCGCAAGAGGAGGCCUGGAGACAGGUGCUGCAUGGCUGUCGUCAGCUCGUGUCGUGAGAUGUUGGGUUAAGUCCCGCAGCGAGCGCAACCCCUAUCUUUAGUUGCCAUCAUUGAGUUGGGCACUCUAAAGAGACUGCCGGUAAUAAACCGGAGGAAGGUGGGGAUGACGUCAAAUCAUCAUGCCCCUUAUGACCUGGGCUACACACGUGCUACAAUGGUUGGUACAACGAGUUGCGAGUCGGUGACGGCGAGCUAAUCUCUUAAAGCCAAUCUCAGUUCGGAUUGUAGGCUGCAACUCGCCUACAUGAAGUCGGAAUCGCUAGUAAUCGCGGAUCAGCACGCCGCGGUCGAAUACGUUCCCGGGCCUU
rnacentral:rRNA from 1 species